rnacentral:lncRNA from 1 species
AAAUGUGCAUUUGAUACUACUCUUUUGAAUGAUUUCUAGCUGUAUGUAUUUAGUACGCUAUCCAGACUUCAUAGUAUUAAAAAUGACUGUACUUCUUAAGCUAUGAUACAUUUCGCACAAGCCUUAAUAUAAAUGAAGUCAUUUGGCAAAAUAGAGUGUAUCUACCACAAUGCCAUGGCAAACUCUUUCCACUAACUUGCAGUCAUAAAUAGAUGUGCAAAAUACUUAAAGGUAUACUAUAAGAAUACAAGUCAAUGCUUCCCUAUGGUGAAAUAGCUUAUGCUGAAUGUCCUCAUGCAGAGCGUUGGUUAUUGGACCAAAAGUUCGUUAGCAGCCAGGAAGCGCCUCCAGUGGCUGUCUGAGAGACAGCUACAGGAGGCAGACUUAGGGCUGUAAAUGUAAAUAUUGCAGUUUCUCUGGACUAAGUACAAUAAGGACACUGUACCCAGAGACCACUUUAAUGAGCUGAAGUGGUCUGGGUGCCUAUAGUGCCCCUUUAAAGCUGUUUAUUUGGGUGUUGAUACUGUGUAUUCUGUCAAAAUGUCCUUGCCACAUUUGUUAGCCAGAUGCCACUCAGUUUGAUUGAACAGCCCAAAAAUUGUUCACCACUUAGAAUGCCACAUGAUACGUCUUCAUGCCUUGCAUUAAUGCAUACCUCUGAGAAAAUGUGAACUAUGUGUGUGUUUACUUUACAUGUCAGUAAAUCUUUAUUGUGCUGUAACCAUUUAUGAAGCUUUUUGUAUGAGGCAACCUAGUGUUGUACAUAUAAAUUAUUUUAAAAUAUGUGAAUAUGUAAACUCCUAUGGUAUGUGCAAUAGAUAGGAAAAUAUUCUUCAUGUUAUAACUUUGCUACAAAUUUUACACCACUGACUUCUAUUCGUGUUAAUGUUUAAUAUAUUAUUGUUUUGUUGGAGAUUUGUCAACUUGAUAUUAAUGCAGUUGUAAUGUAAUUGAUUCAGUAACAAUAAAUGUUUUUUGCAUUUUUGGGACACUAUAGUCACCAACACAACUUUAACCUAAUGAAACAGUUUUUGUCUAUAGAUCAGGCCUUUGAUGUCUCAUAGCUCCAUUCUCUGCCAUUUAGGAGUUAAGUCACUUUUGUUUCUGUUUUUGCAGACUUUGUUACAUCUCUCCUGGGUGUGACUCACACAGCCUGUAUGAAAAAAAAUGGUUUCAUAUUCAAUUCGAUGUUAACUAACUUUAGAAGUUUUUAUCUCCUGAUCUGUAAAUUGAAUCACUCACAAAAGCAUCCUGUAAGGUCUAGCAAGCUAUACACAGUGAAGGAGAUAAAACAUUAUAUAUUAAACAGACUGUGCAAUCAAGGUAGUGUAAACAUUAGAUCUCAAUUUACAGGAAGUGUUUAGGAAAGCUGUGUAAGUCAUAGGCAGGAAGGUCUGACAAGGGUUGCUUAAACAAAGUGAUUUAAUUCCUUAAUGGCAGAGAAUUGAGCUGUGAGACUGCAGGGGCAUGAUCUGCAUACCAAAACUGCUUCAUUAAGCUAAAGUUGUUUUGGUGACUAUAGUCAGUGGUGUAUCCUGGUUUUGUGCUGCCCUAGGCAGAACAAAACUCAGGCGCCCCCCUGCCCCCGCGCCACCCCCACCC